CGCUCGCUCACGAAACUACGUUAGAUGGAACCCCUUGUAGUAGAGAUUUCUAUUAAUUCAACAAUGAAGAAAUACAAAACCAAAGUGUAGUGUUUGCGGUGCGCUGAGCUGGAGUCUACAGAAGACGUGAUAGAGCUACCACGCAACCGGGAUCCUGCUUGCGACUCGCGUCACCAUGUCCCUACUGCGCGGAAACAUGACACAACAUGCGCGCGUCAUACUGCGAGCUGCGACCCGACAGCGCUCCAGCGCAUCUCUACAUUCGCAAUGCCAGUUGUAUGCAGUGCACGCUACACUCAUCGUGCGCCGCGGCUACGCCCGGCACUGGCACACGCUGGCGGCUCGCUGGCUGCACGCUGGCGGCACGCUGGCUGCACGCUGGCGGCACGCUGGCGGCACACUGGCGGCACGCUGGUAUGGCUUCGUUCUCUUUAGGCGCUGCCAAGUAUUCCAAGUUCUAAGAAGCGGAUGUUUACAUAGUUCUGUUGUGGCAGUAAUGAUGUUCCCCUUAAUGUUGUUUGUUAAGAUGCGAUAUUUAUUGUAAUAAUGAGGCCACUUGGUGAAUUCCAAGAAGAUUAAAAUGUAUGAGUCAAAACUAUUAUCAGUGAAACACAAAUAACGAUACCUACUACACUAACUGCUAAUCUUGUUCGAAAACAAGGAAUGUCAUCUUACUAAUGAAUCUGUUUAACGAGCGACUAAUUAGCUCUCCGGCUGCUGCUAUGUGCACAUGAUGUAUCGCUAUACAUACAUAUAUACUUGAAAUACGUAGCGAAGCUUUUAACGUUCUUCUGCCUCGUAUCAAGUCACUGGCUGCGUAGCCUUUUCUCAAGGCUAGCCAGAUGAUGUGAAUUUAAUCACCUUACAAGCCCUAGGAGUCUAGGACCAGGGUUUUCUCAAAUCCAUCUGAAAGCCUCUGGCUUGGAAUCGUUACAACUGCUUCUGAGUAGCAUUUGAUGAUGUCGGCUUUGGGGAAGUUUUAAUACCCAUAAAGCGAUCGGGCCAAAACUUGUGUCAAAUGUUAUAAUAAAAUACCAGACAACAUUCUGGAACUGAAUGACAUGCGGUUUAAAACUCAUAUAAAGCCACACUUUACUGGACAAUAUCUAAUUAAUUAACAAAUUAAAAUUACCUACACCAGCAAGUAAAAUUGUAUUCAUCUUUUGAUUAUUUGUUUGUAACUUUGUACCAAAAUAUAAACCAAUUUGUAAAUGUGAACACCAUGUAGCAUUUUAAUUGUCAUUUUAUCCUCAUUUGUCUUUGCGAUUCUACAUGAUCUUCGCAUGCUGUUACUGUAUGUAUCAAUACAUACAAACUGUAAUAAGUACCAUAUUAUUUUUAAAAAGAGUAACCAUGGAGUUUCUUGCCCGUUCUUCUCCAUAGGAAGCUACUUUUGGAAUGGGCAACUAGAAUCAAACUUAGUUAUAAUUUUGACGUUCAUAAGUGCUUGUAAAGGCCUAAAUGAAAUAAAUGAUUUGACAUUGACUUAUAUUUAA